CCGAAAAUCCCUGUUUGUCCUGUUCUGACUUCUGAUUCAGCUCCUGCCUCGGGAGCAGAGUACAGGAAGAACGGGUGGGCUGGCUGCAGAACAACCCCUCCCCUCGCAGGAACCCGAGCCGGGAGGGACCCAGUGGGUCCUCGGGAGGAAAACCUCAGCACAAGGAGGCCGGGCCCACGUGAGCACUCAGCAGUCCACAGGCGCCGGCCAGCGCCUGGCUCGGGCCAGGUCCCCAUCGACGCACUCAGCCCAGCGGAGCCGGGAGGAGGCAGGCGCGGUUGUGGAGCUCGUCCUUAAUCCUCGUAGAACCGGGCUUCUUAACACGUAAUUUUGCGAGAGUCGCAACGGACACCCCUCUCCACCCAUGGACAAACAGACUCUCUGUGGACACGUAAUUACAGGGCAGCAUCGAGGGUGGCGGCCAGGGCUGGGCUCAGAACGGGGAGGGGCACAGCAGGUGCUGGUUCUGCCGCCGCUGGGAGCUGGUCAUCCGAGGCAAGCAGCCCGCGCCUGGGGUCGCCAUUUUCCUCUUCUGUGAGGCGAUCAUCUCCUUUACAGCUUGUGCUUUAAGAGGAGCAGACGUGCUGCGUCCGACGCUUCCCACACGUGUGCUGGCACUCCUCGCCCAGCCUUGGGGAGGACACAGCACAGGGUGGGAGCUCUCCAUGGCAAGGGUGACCCGGGGACCUCAGGGAGCGCCGCCGCCCGCGUGCCCAGUGGCCGCCACCAGAGUGGGGCUCCAGGUCACAGAGCUACG